AUUUAUAUAGUUUAAAAAUUAAAAACAUUAUAUUUUCAUUAUAAAAAAAAUAAAAAAAUUUUAUUUAUAAAUU
rnacentral:tRNA from 1 species